rnacentral:rRNA from 1 species
UACAGAGGUCCCAAGCGUUUGUUCGGAUUCACUGGGCGUAAAGGGUGCGUAGGCGGCGCGGUAAGUCGGGUGUGAAAUCUCGGAGCUUAACUCCGAAACUGCAUUCGAUCACUGCCGUGCUUGAGGACUGGAGAGGAGACUGGAAUUUACGGUGUAGCGGUGAAAUGCGUACGAUAUCGUAAGGAAGACCAGUGGCGAAGGCCGGGGU